rnacentral:misc_RNA from 1 species
AGCAGCCGCGGUAAUUCCAGCUCCAAUAGCGUAUAUUAAAGUUGUUGCAGUUAAAAAGCUCGUAGUUGAAUUUCGGGAUCAAUAUGUUGGUCGUGCCUUGGUACGUACUGGCAUUAUUGGUUUCUACCUUCUGAAGAACCUCGAUGUCAUUAAUUUGGUGUCUUGGGGAAUCAGGACUGUUACUUUGAAAAAUUAGAGUGUUUAAAGCAGGCUCGCGCUUGAAUACAUUAGCAUGGAAUAAUGAAAUAGGACGUUUGAUUCUAUUUUGUUGGUUUCUAGGAUUGACGUAAUGAUUAAUAGGGAUAGUUGGGGGGCAUUAGUAUUCAAUUGUCAGAGGUGAAAUUCUUGGAUUUAUUGAAGACUAACUACUGCGAAAGCAUUUGCCAAGGAUGUUUUCAUUAAUCAAGAACGAAAGUUAGGGGAUCGAAGACGAUCAGAUACCGUCGUAGUCUUAACCAUAAACUAUGCCGACUAGGGAUCGGAUGAUGUUAAUUUUUAAUGACUCAUUCGGCGCCUUAAC